rnacentral:lncRNA from 1 species
AACAUAAAAGAACUCAAAAUGAGAAUCAAAAAUUAAAACAUAAUUUGUUCUUAGUGGAUUUGGUACCUCGAGGCUCAUUAUCUCUCUGUUGGGGCUCCUAAUGGAGUAAUCUCCAGAAUCUAUUCAAGGGAUAUUCGGAGAUUAGCUGAAUCUUACUCAAGAACAAAUUGACAGAUUUUUCCUCUAAAAACCAAAAAUUUUAGUUCAAAAACUUCAAUGCAUUAAAAGGAAAUUCAGAGAAUCAAAACAAAGUUGAAUGCAUAUGUUGAGGGGGAGAAUCUAAAUUUUUAAGAAAGCUAAAUCAUUAAAUAUAUAUAAGCCAAAUAAUUGAUUGCAUGAUAUGAAGGCUUAUAUAAUUCCAAAUGAAAGGGGGAGCUUUAAUUCCAAAAUUUAUUGUUUCACACCUUUCAAGCUUGGAUAAAUUAAAUAACCAGACACUUGAAUUCAUUUAUGGAUUUUAUUUUCUUGUUUAUUGAGCAAUUCACUUUACAUAUACUCAAUGUUUUGUCAUCAUCAAAAAGG